GAAUUCGAUUCAGGCCUAACACAUGCAAGUCGAGCGGGGUUUUCGGACCUAGCGGCGGACGGGUGAGUAAUGCGUAGGAAGCUACCCGAUAGAGGGGGAUACCAGUUGGAAAAGACUGUUAAUACCGCAUAAUGUCUACGGACCAAAGUGUGGGACCUUCGGGCCACAUGCUAUCGGAUGUGCCUACGUGGGAUUAGCUAGUUGGUGAGGUAAUGGCUCACCAAGGCGACGAUCCCUAGCUGGUUUGAGAGGAUGAUC
rnacentral:rRNA from 1 species